AGGUCUUUAGGUUAUACAAACCCUUAGCCUUCAAAGCUUAUAAAAGAUUAUGUCUAAGGCCUG
rnacentral:tRNA from 1 species